rnacentral:tRNA from 1 species
GCCGAAGUGGUGGAACUUGGUAGACACGCCAUCUUGAGGGGGUGGUGGGCAACGCCUGUGCCGGUUCGAGUCCGGCCUUCGGCACCA